rnacentral:rRNA from 1 species
UACGUAGGGUGCGAGCGUUGUCCGGAUUUAUUGGGCGUAAAGAGCUCGUAGGCGGUUUGUCGCGUCGGCCGUGAAAUCUCCACGCUUAACGUGGAGCGUGCGGUCGAUACGGGCAGACUUGAGUUCGGUAGGGGAGACUGGAAUUCCUGGUGUAGCGGUGAAAUGCGCAGAUAUCAGGAGGGACACCGGUGGCGAAGGCGGGUCUCUGGGCCGAUACUGACGCUGAGGAGCGAAAGCGUGGGGAGCGAACAGG